GUGAGGAAUUUUCCGCAAUGGGCGAAAGCCUGACGGAGCAAUGCCGCGUGAAGGAUGAAGGCCUAUGGGUUGUAAACUUCUUUUCUUAGAGAAGAAUAUUGACGGUAUCUGAGGAAUAAGCAUCGGCUAACUCUGUGCCAGCAGCCGCGGUAAGACAGAGGGUGCAAACGUUGCUCGGAAUUACUGGGCGUAAAGCGCAUGUAGGCGGGUACGCAAGUCGGGAGUGAAAUCCCUGGGCUCAACCUAGGAACUGCUUUCGAAACUGCGCAUCUGGAGUGAUGGAGAGGAGAGCGGAAUUCCCGGUGUAGAGGUGAAAUUCGUAGAUAUCGGGAGGAACACCAGUGGCGAAGGCGGCUCUCUGGCCAUUGACUGACGCUGAGAUGCGAAAGCGUGGGGAGCAAACAGGAUUAGAAACCCCGGUAGUCC
rnacentral:rRNA from 1 species